rnacentral:rRNA from 1 species
AACGAACGCUGGCGGCAGGCCUAACACAUGCAAGUCGACGCUGUAGCAAUACAGAGUGGCAGACGGGUGAGUAACGCGUGGGAACCUUCCCAGUGGUGCGGAAUAGCUCAGGGAAACUUGAGGUAAUACCGCAUAAGCCCCUAGGGGAAGAUUAUCGCCAUUGGAUGGGCCCGCGUCGGAUUAGCUAGUUGGUGAGGUAAUGGCUCACCAAGGCAACGAUCCGAGCUGGUUUGAGAGAAUGACCAGCCACACUGGGACUGAGACACGGCCCAGACUCCUACGGGAGGCAGCGAGUGGGGAAUCUUGGACAAUGGGCGCAAGCCUGAUCCAGCCAUGCCGCGUGAGUGACGAAGG